rnacentral:tRNA from 1 species
GAGGGUAUAGCUCAAUUGGUAGGGUGCAUACUUAGCAUGCAGGAGAUCCUGGGUUCAAUCCCCAGAACCUCCA